CCUACGGGUGUCUGCAGUAAGGAAUAUUGGUCAAUGGACGAAAGUCUGAACCAGCCAUCCCGCGUGCAGGAUGAAAGCCCUAUGGGUUGUAAACUGCUUUUAGCAGAGAAGAAAAGCUUUCAUUAAUGAGAGUCUGACGGUAUCUGCAGAAUAAGCACCGGCUAACUCCGUGCCAGCAGCCGCGGUAAUACGGAGGGUGCGAGAGUUAUCCGGUAUUACUGGUUUUAAAGCGGACUAUUAAGGAAGUGGUGAAAUCUUGUCGCUUAACGAUAGAAUUGCCAAUGAUACUGGUACUCUUGAAUUGGGUUGAGGUGAGCGGAAUGUGACAUGUAGCGGUGAAAUGCAUAGAUAUGUCAUGGAACACCAAUUGCGAAGGCAGCUAACUGGGCCUUGAUUGACGCUGAGGCACGAAAGCGUGGGUAGCGAACAGGAUUAGAUACCCCUGUAGUC
rnacentral:rRNA from 1 species